rnacentral:rRNA from 1 species
CCUACGGGUGGCAGCAGUGAGGAAUAUUGGUCAAUGGACGAGAGUCUGAACCAGCCAAGUAGCGUGAAGGAUGACUGCCCUAUGGGUUGUAAACUUCUUUUAUAUGGGAAUAAAAUGUUCCACGUGUGGGAUUUUGUAUGUACCAUAUGAAUAAGGAUCGGCUAACUCCGUGCCAGCAGCCGCGGUAAUACGGAGGAUCCGAGCGUUAUCCGGAUUUAUUGGGUUUAAAGGGAGCGUAGGUGGAUUGUUAAGUCAGUUGUGAAAGUUUGCGGCUCAACCGUAAAAUUGCAAUUGAAACUGGCAGUCUUGAGUACAGUAGAGGUGGGCGGAAUUCGUGGUGUAGCGGUGAAAUGCUUAGAUAUCACGAAGAACUCCGAUUGCGAAGGCAGUUCACUGGACUGCAACUGACACUGAGGCUCGAAAGUGUGGGUAUCAAACAGGAUUAGAUACCCUAGUAGUC